rnacentral:lncRNA from 1 species
UAAUAUAAGUUUUUCUUUCUCUUAUUUUUCAUUAGAUUUGCACAAAAUCUGAUAUUUUUAAGGUUGUGAAUAAAAAAAUUAUAAUUUUAAAGUUGUUUCAAAUUAAAAAUGAUAAAUUCAAAUAAAUAAGACUAAUUUAAAAAUAAAAACAUUUAGUGCUAUUAAUGCAGAUAUAAAUUUUGAGGUUAAAUUAUUUUUAAUAUUUAUUAACAGAAAUAGAAUAGUUGUAUAUAUAUAUAUAUAUAUAUAUAUAUUACUCGUCCAAUUCAUUUCAUAUGCAUAAAAGAGCUCAAGAGUGAUUUGAUUAGAAUAAUUAUUUAAAUCUGAUUAGAAUACUUUUUUUUACUACAAAAAAAUCAAAAUUUAGGAGUCAUAGAAAAUAAUUCAAACAAUCAAUAUUGUCUGUUUUCAUCAGCAAAUUCUAAUUUCAUAAAUCAGUUCUAUUCAUCAAAAGUUAUUCCAGAUAAUAAAUUAUAGAAGUGUAAUUUGUUAUUCAAAUUAAUUGUGUGUAAAGCAUUAUAAUGAAAGCUGAUUGAGCAGAAAUUUAUAACAAGAUAUAAAUAGAGCAUCAAUCCACACCAAAAAAAAGUCUGAACAAAGGAAUCACAUUUUUCCAAAAGGAUAUUGAAGGGGCAACACAAAAGUUAAAGGGAGCACACUCUGCUGGCAUUGAGAAGCUGGUCAACAAAGCCAAUUGAAAAGGUCUCGGAAUUCCACAUUCCACAAUUCCACUUCCCACACCCACAACAUGAAUGAACAUGUACUCAUUGGCUUUGCCUCCUCAGUGUCUAGAAAGUCUCAAGAGUUGGUGAUAUAUUUAUAUUUUUAUAUAAUAUAUAGAGGAGAAAAAAAGGUUUGAUACAAUGGAUUCUAAGUUUGGUUGAUGUUUGCUGUUGAACAUCUAUCCAUUGCUUGUUGCACCAUUUCUGAUUAAUCCAUUUUUUUGUAUUUUGUGCAUUGUUCAUAGUGUAGAAUUGAAUAGUUAUAAUUAUUUAAGAUAUGCAUUAAGCAAUAAGUUAUGAGCACAUUAGAUUACAUUACUUACCUUUCUUUUUUGAUAAUACAAGAUAUUCCCACCUUUGAUUUUUUGUACAUUUCAAAUGAAUUUUAAUUGUGUAACAUAAUUCAAGCUCCAAUCCCAUGAACUGAAAUUAAAAUUGGCUGGGGAACGAUGAUUUGAGAAUGUUUAAUCAUAAUACAAGCAAUUUCGUUAGCUUUUUUAUAUUUAAAUACCUUAAGCUUCCUUUUGCCCAAUCUUCUAUAGAUGCAAUUGAUCCCAAUUCAACUCAAAAUUGCCUUGUCUCCAUUACUAUGAUUGUUUUAGCUGUUUAUUAUUUUCAUAAUGGGCGUCUAAUAUGGUCCUACUCAUGCAGAAUGGAAGUCCCACAUACAAAGGAGCACAGGGGAGCAAUGUCAACUUCCACAUUAUUGAUUGGUUUAAAAUUUGAUGGACAGUGCAACAUCCAUCUUCUUUUUGUUUCUCAUUUUUUCUAGAUUUUAUUUAAAUUAGGAUUUCUUUACAGUUGUAGCUUAUGGAUCUGAAAUCAUAGUUACCUUGUAUUUGAAGGCAAGUAAGAAUCAUCCUUUUGACAGACAACUGUUAGACAAGAGAUGAUCCAAAGAAAUAUAAUUGAUUCAAGUGAUGAUGUGACCAUAUUAAAAAAAAAAAAAAAUGGUCAACUACAAGUAAAAUAAUAUAAAAUAAGAAUACAUACUCCAACCAGACAAUGGUAAUCAACUUCAAAUUUCAUCAUCACAGAGAAGUUACUAAUUAAAUAAUUUUGAAUUUGAAUAAGGUUGUACCAAAAGGCUGUAGCAUUUGACCUAACCAAGAUCAUACUUGUUUGCAUCAAUCAUGUUGAUCAAUGGAUGAAUAUUACAAUUUGUGUGAACACAUAUAUUUAUGAUGUUUCUGUUUUGUUUUGUUUUUUACAUAUAUACAUAGAGAAAAAACCAUAUACAAGCUAGUUCUUUACAAGUCUGUAUUGAAUAACAUUACAAAGGUUCUUAUGUAAUUUACAGGUUUCUUUUUAUUUUCUUCUUUUGUUUAUUUAUUUCUUUCAUUCUGCGAUGUCUUCAAAUAAUUUAAGAUAAGUCUGUACCCAAUCUGUUAAAAGAAAUGAAUACUUCAACAUUUUUUGUAUUUUUAGAAUUUUUUAUUAUGAGAAAUGUACUUUCGGAUUGACAACAUUUAUCAGCACUCUUUGAAAUUGCAAACAAAUUAAAACAUAAUGAAAUUACAUUAUGCUCAUGGUUUUUAUAUAACACUUGCUUUUAUAUCUUUUAAUUUUUUAAAUUUAACUUUAAAUUAAUUUUUUUUUUCCACUAUUGAAGAGCUAGCUUCAAUAUUGAAUGGUUAUGGAAAUUUCCACAGCAUUUUGCAAGUAUGAUUUGUAUAACUUUGAUGGUUUUUUUCACUGAAAUUGACCAAAAUUAUCUAAACAAAACAGAUUGGUAUACUAAAAUCUAUUAUGUAGGGUUGUGGUAAUUAGAAUUUCCAGUAAAAAAUUCUUCUCAUAUAAAUGAAUCAAAAUAAAAUAAAUCACUUAUGUAUUUAAUUUUUUAAAAAUACUUUAGAUCACAAGACAUAAAGCAAUUAAUUUACAAAUGUGAACAAUAUGUUCAUUGACUUCAAACCUUUGCACAUCAAUAUUAUCUGUCAAAAAAAUAGUUGAAGGGAUAGUUGUCCAUGUCAUGUACACCAACAUAAAAUGUUACACACAAAACACCCAUAGAUUGAGAUCAGAGAAUAAACAGGUUUCACAUCACAUUCAAAUGAAUAAAAAAUGACUUGCCUGAAUGAUGUUUUUGUCUCCAAAAUACUCUCCAUUUAGAACAUGUUUGACUAAAUAUUGAACAAUUUAAUUGGUAAUUGUGCACAAUAAUUUUCUGACAAAACAUUUUCGCCCACCAGCUCUUCUUUGUCCAACCUCUUGCUGCAUGUUCUGAUGUAAAAUUGUUCUUAAAUCUGUAAAAAGUUCUUUAGUAUUGAAUAAAAUUAUUGCUGUGUUACAUAUCAACAAUACAGUUGACAAUUUUUAGAAUGAUUUGAUAUGGACAAGAAAAAAGAAAAAAGAAAAUAUACACACACAUUAAAAAUAAAAAUUAAUAAAUAAAAAAUUUUAUGUUUAUGCAUUUGAACAUACAAUCUACAAAAAUAAUCAUAAUUUAUUGCUCACAAUAAUUUUAUCAUAGAAUUAUUUAUUGAUGAACUUAUAUGCAUUCUUGAAAUUCUUCUACUAUUAUUAACUUGAAAAAUGGUUGAGCUUGUAAUCAAAUUUCGGCAUUGAUUUUGUUUCAUGAUAUUAUUUGUGAUUAUUUAUUAUUUUAUUAAUUUAUAAAAUUUUCACAGAAUUAAAUUUUAUUUUGAUAUCAUAAUUUAAUAUACUAUGAGGGAUAUUUCAUUUUGCUUUUAGUAUAACCAAUAGGAACGUAUGUAUGUAUAUAUAAAUAUAUAUAUAUAUAUAUAUAUAUAUAGGUAAAUGUCAAAACGACCCAUCUAUUUACUAAAUAAGUCCACCCUAUUGUGACCGUCAUUAGAAAAUGGAUCAUCUCCAAAAAGCAUUGUUACAAUCAUGGCCCUCAUCUCCACCC